rnacentral:rRNA from 1 species
GGGGGGAGCAAGCGUUGUUCGGAUUUACUGGGCGUAAAGGGCGCGUAGGCGGCCAGCGCAAGUCAGUUGUGAAACCUCCGAGCUUAACUCGGAAAGGUCAACUGAUACUGCGCGGCUAGAGUGCGGAAGGGGCAACUGGAAUUCUCGGUGUAGCGGUGAAAUGCGUAGAUAUCGAGAGGAACACCUGCGGCGAAGGCGGGUUGCUGGGCCGACACUGACGCUGAGGCGCGAAAGCUAGGGGAGUGAACGGGAUUAGAUACCCCGGUAGUCCUAGCCUUAAACGAUGAAUGCUUGGUGUCUGGGGUUAUAUAGUCCCCGGGUGCCGUCGCUAACGCUUUAAGCAUUCCGCCUGGGGAGUACGGUCGCAAGACUG